rnacentral:lncRNA from 1 species
AAUUAAUGUUUUCAUUUAUAUAUAUAUUUUUUAUAUUUUGAGAAAAAAUAACACUAUUCAGUGAUUAAAAGAGUACUUGGUGUGUCCAUGCACAUCGGGACUCAUAUACACUAUUCAGUGAUUAAAAGAGUACUUGGUGUGUCUAUGCAUAUUGGGACUCAUAUACACUAUUCAGUGAUUUAAAGAGUACCUAGUGUGUCCAUGCACAUCAAGACUCAUAUCUCAGGUAUACUUAUCACAAAAACAUUUUUCAUAAAAAAGAAGUGUAUCCCUGUGAAGUGUAGGUCAUCAUGACCUAUUUUUCAUACCUAAAGGUGGGACUAUAUUGCUCCUAAGUGAUGCAUAUAUAAGGUAAAGUUUUGCAUCAUAGUUUAUAUCUUGCAUAUUGCAGCUUAAGUGAGUAUGUCAGCAUUCAGACAAUUUUCAAAAUUCUUAUGCAUCACUUAUUAUUGUUGUAAGUUCAAAUUAUUUGAAAAAAAACUGCAAAAAGAUUUUUUAAAUAUACGAACCAAUAACAUCAACAUCUCUCACAAAACCAUUAAUCAUUUUACAAAGUUUAGAAGAAUUU